rnacentral:tRNA from 1 species
AGAAACAUAGCUCAGUUGGUUUAGAGCACUUGGUUUACACCCAAGCGGUCAUAGGUUCGAAUCCUAUUGUUUCUA